CACUGGCACUGAGACACGGGCCAGACUCCUACGGGAGGCAGCAGCGAGGAAUAUUGCGCAAUGGGCGAAAGCCUGACGCAGUAACGCCGCGUGGGGGAAGAAGACCUUCGGGUUGUAAACCUCUUUUUGUAGAGACGAGGGAGGACGGUAUCUAUAGAAUAAGUCUCGGCUAACUACGUGCCAGCAGCCGCGGUAAGACGUAGGAGGCGAGCGUUAUCCGGAAUCACUGGGCGUAAAGCGCAUGUAGGCGGUUGCGCAAGUCGUGUGUUAAAGCCCCUGGCUCAACUAGGGGAGGUCAUGCGAGACUGUGCGACUAGAGGGCAGGAGAGGCACGUGGAACUCCCGGUGUAGCGGUGGAAUGCGUAGAGAUCGGGAAGAACAUCAGUGGCGAAGGCGACGUGCUGGGCUGCACCUGACGCUGAGAUGCGAAAGUGUGGGGAGCAAACGGGAUUAGAUACCCCGGUAGUCCACACCCUAAACGAUGAACACUAGGUGUGGGAGGGAAAACCUUCCGUGCCGAAGCCAACGCGUUAAGUGUUCCGCCUGGGGACUAUGAGCGCAAGCUUAAAACUCAAAGGAAUUUGACGGGGGCCCGCACAAGCAGCGGAGCGUGCGGUUCAAUUCGAUGCGACACGAAGAACCUUACCAGGGUUUUGACAUGGUGGUAGUAGGGAAGGGAAACUGGACCGACUCGCAAGGGAGCCAUCACAGGUGAUGCAUGGCUGUCGUCAGCUCGUGCCGUGAGGUGUUGGGUUAAGUCCCGCAACGAGCGCAACCCCUGUUGCCAGUUACAAGUGUCUGGCGAGACUGCCGGCGAAUUGUCGGAGGAAGGCGGGGAUGACGUCAAGUCAGCAUGUCCUUUAUAUCCUGGGCUACACGCACGCUACAAUGGGCGCGAAUAGAGCGUAGCCAAACCGAGAGGUGGAGCAAAUCGCGGAAAAGCGCCCACAGUUCAGAUUGCAGGCUGCAACUCGCCUGCAUGAAGUCGGAGUUGCUAGUAAACGCGCGUCAGCCAAAGUGCGUUGAAUACGUUCCCGGGCCUUGUACACACCGCCCGUCACGUCAUGGGAGUCGGCAACACCUGAAGUCGGUGAGCGAACCGCAAGGACGCAGCCGCCGAAGGUGGGGUUGGUGACUGGGACGA
rnacentral:rRNA from 1 species